rfam:Gossypium raimondii Chr06_contig_724, whole genome shotgun sequence.
AUACCAUGGUGAGGUCACCUUCACAAUAACUUUUUGAACCACUACCACGCCUCGUGUAAAGAUUCUUCGUCGAAUUGUUAGAAUGUUGUGAUUUCAUUCCGAAGUUU